UUCUACCCGCAUAUAAUCUUGAGUUUCUGAAACACCAGCACAGCUUUUUCUGCACUGGAUUUCCCAGAGGGACAGCUGCCUCUUCCACUGCAGGAAGACUACACCCUUUUCUGCAGGAUCACUGCUCCAACAGAACCACACCUGACACUCCAGGAGGACUGCAGCCACACCCUGACUAACAGGGUGUCAGGUGGGAAUGCUGUCACUACCAAAUGACACCUGUUUCCCAUGGGUCUCUGCAGCCGAUAGGAAGAACGUUCUUUCCCCCUAGCCCAGCUGCAGGCAGGCAUCUCCUGGGGCCAGUGGAUCAGGGAAAUCUCAAGGAGAAAUACAGAUGCCUUAGUUAGACUUUCCUGAUAUUUUCCAUUGCAUUUCAUCUCACAGCAGUAUUGAAAGGCUGAGAUGCUCAGUAAGGUUCUUCAGAUGUGAAAAAGUAUCAGAUCCCUCCUCCAUCAUGACAUGCAGCCACACAAGGGCAGGUGCUGCCACAAGGGAUGGUGGCUGUGCAUCCCCUCCCACAGCAGCAUGUUUGGAUCUGCUUGAAAAUUCCCACUGAAAAUUCCCACCUUCCUUUCUCCAGCCUCAGAAACAGCCAACAGCACGGCCCUGAAGCUGCACAGUGGGCAAAGGACCCAGCUUCCAGUAGUGCUUUUAGGGAAGUGAAAACGUUGUGGGCCCAAUAAAACAGAUGAGUCUUGAAAAGCAGAAUUGGGAAAACACCAUUUUUUUUCCACUUAAGGUAAAUAUGGGACUUCACUGCAUCUCUAGCAAUUUAAAGAAAGUCCAGGACUACUGUGACUAAAAUAUGAAGACAUUGCCUUUUGCAAGUGGAAAAAUGCAAGUUAGAGAAACGUCUAAGAUGUCCCAGUGCCUAGGACAGUGAAGCCUACUGUGGAGAGAAGGAAUGGUGUGCUGUCCCAUGUGCCCUCAAAAAUGGGUGCACAGACCUGUUGUCAUAGGACUGCAUUCUGAUAUCCCAGGCUGCAUGUUCCCAAGAAAUCUGAAAAAAGGAAAAUCUGCAUUUGGAAAACCACUGAUUGAGAAAAAAACUGACUGCUGCUGCAGCUGGCCCCACUGUGAGCUUCCUCUGCAGGAGCUGAACACAGAUCCUGAUCCAU